rnacentral:rRNA from 1 species
GAUGAACGCUGGCGGCGUGCCUAAUACAUGCAAGUCGAGCGAACAGACGAGGAGCUUGCUCCUCUGCCGUUAGCGGCGGACGGGUGAGUAACACGUGGAUAACCUACCUAUAAGACUGGGAUAACUUCGGGAAACCGGAGCUAAUACCGGAUAAUAUAUUGAACCGCAUGGUUCAAUAGUGAAAGACGGUUUUGCUGUCACUUAUCGAUGGAUCCGCGCCGCAUUAGCUAGUUGGUAAGGUAACGGCGUACCAAGGCGACGAUGCGUAGCCGACCUGAGAGGGCGAUCGGCCACACUGGAACUGAGACACGGUCCAGACUCCUACGGGAGGCAGCAGUAGGGAAUCUUCCGCAAUGGGCGAAAGCUUGACGGAGCAAAGCCGCGUGAGGGAUGAAGGUCUUCGGAUAGUAAAACUCUGUUAUUAGGGAAGAAGAAAUGUGUAAGUAACGAUGAACGUCUUGACGGUACCUAAUCAGAAAGCCACGGCUAACUACGUG